rnacentral:rRNA from 1 species
AGAGUUUGAUCAUGGCUCAGAAUCAACGCUGGCGGCGUGCCUAACACAUGCAAGUCGCACGAGAAAGGGGAGCAAUCCCUGAGUAAAGUGGCGCACGGGUGAGUAACACGUGAAUGAUCUACCUCCGAGUGGGGAAUAACUGAGAGAAAUCUUAGCUAAUACCGCAUAAUACCCACGGGUCAAAGCAGUAAUGCGCUUGGAGAGGAGUUCGCGGCCGAUUAGUUAGUUGGCGGGGUAAUGGCCCACCAAGACGAUGAUCGGUAUCCGGCCUGAGAGGGCGCACGGACACACUGGAACUGAAACACGGUCCAGACUCCUACGGGAGGCAGCAGUGGGGAAUUUUGCGCAAUGGGGGAAACCCUGACGCAGCAACGCCGCGUGGAGGAUGAAGCCCCUUGGGGUGUAAACUCCUUUCGAUCGGGAAGAUUAUGACGGUACCGAUAUAAGAAGCCCCGGCUAACUUCGUGCCAGCAGCCGCGGUAAUACGAGGGGGGCAAGCGUUGUUCGGAAUUAUUGGGCGUAAAGGGUGCGUAGGCGGUUUGACAAGUCUGAUGUGAAAUCUAUGGGCUCAACCCAUAGUCUGCAUCGGAAACUGUCGGGCUUGAGUAUGGGAGAGGUGAGUGGAAUUUCCGGUGUAGCGGUGAAAUGCGUAGAUAUCGGAAGGAACACCUGUGGCGAAAGCGGCUCACUGGACCAUUACUGACGCUGAGGCACGAAAGCUAGGGGAGCAAACAGGAUUAGAUACCCUGGUAGUCCUAGCCCUAAACGAUGAUUGCUUGGUGUGGCAGGUACCCAAUCCUGCCGUGCCGAAGCUAACGCGAUAAGCAAUCCGCCUGGGGAGUACGGUCGCAAGGCUGAAACUCAAAGGAAUUGACGGGGCCCGCACAAGCGGUGGAGCAUGUGGUUUAAUUCGACGCAACGCGAAGAACCUUACCUGGGCUCGAAUGUACAGGAAUUCCCUAGAAAUAGGGCGCCUAGCAAUA